UACGUAGGGACCAAGCGUUGUUCGGAUUUACUGGGCGUAAAGGGCGCGUAGGCGGCCUAGCAAGUCAGUUGUGAAAUCUCCGAGCUUAACUCGGAAAGGUCAACUGAUACUGUGCGACUAGAGUGCAGAAGGGGCAACUGGAAUUCCUGGUGUAGCGGUGGAAUGCGCAGAUAUCAGGAGGAACACCGGUGGCGAAGGCGGGAUCCUGGGCCAGUACUGACGCUGAGGAGCGAAAGCGUGGGGAGCAAACAGG
rnacentral:rRNA from 1 species